rnacentral:rRNA from 1 species
UACAGAGGGUGCGAGCGUUAAUCGGAAUUACUGGGCGUAAAGCGCACGUAGGUGGCGACGUAAGUCGGGUGUGAAAGCCCCGGGCUCAACCUGGGAAUUGCAUUCGAGACUGCAUUGCUGGAGUACGGAAGAGGAGGGCGGAAUUCCCGGUGUAGUGGUGAUAUGCGUAGAUAUCGGGAGGAACACCAGUGGCGAAGGCGGUUCUCUGGGCCUUACCUGACGCUGAGACGCGAAAGCGUGGGGAGCGAACCGG